GUGCUGGCUCCGGCAGCACAGACACUAACAUUGGAAUGAUGCAGGAAGAUUAGCAUGGCCCCUGUACAAGGAUGACAUGCAGAUUCGUGGAGCGUUUCAUAUUUUU